CAUGGCCGUCGUCAGUUCGUACUGUGAAGCAUCCUGUUAAGUCAGGCAACGAGCGAGACCCACGUCCACAGUUGCCAGCAUACCCUCCGGGGUGAUGGGUACACUGUGGAGACCGCCGCUGCUAAAGCGGAGGAAGGAGUGGGCAACGGUAGGUCAGUAUGCCCCGAAUCUCCCGGGCUACACGCGGGCUACAAUGGUUGGUACAAUGGGCAUCUACCCCGAAAGGGGAAGGAAAUCUCUUAAAGCCAAUCGUAGUUCGGAUUGAGGGCUGCAACUCGCCCUCAUGAAGCUGGAAUCCGUAGUAAUCGCGUUUCAACAGAACGCGGUGAAUACGUCCCUGCUCCUC
rnacentral:rRNA from 1 species